rnacentral:piRNA from 1 species
UGCUGAAAUGGGCUAGUUCUGUAGGACAAA